rnacentral:rRNA from 1 species
AGAGUUUGAUCCUGGCUCAGAACGAACGCUGGCGGCGUGCUUAACACAUGCAAGUCGAGUGCGCGUACCGUAGCAAUACGGUAUGGCGCACGGCGCACGGGUGCGUAACACGUGGGCAAUCCGCCCUUCGAUGGGGAAUAACUCCGGGAAACCGAAGCUAAUUCCGCAUAACAUUCCUUGGACUUAGGUUCGAGGACUCAAAGCCGUAAGGCGUCGAAGGAGGAGCCCGCGCCCGAUUAGCUAGUUGGUGAGGUAACGGCUCACCAAGGCAAUGAUCGGAAGCUGGUCUGAGAGGAUGGCCAGCCACACUGGAACUGAGACACGGUCCAGACUCCUACGGGAGGCAGCAGUGGGGAAUCUUGCGCAAUGGGCGAAAGCCUGACGCAGCGACGCCGCGUGGGGGAUGAAGCAUUUCGGUGUGUAAACCCCUUUCGACUGGGACGAAUACCUCGCAAGAGGGGUGACGGUACCAGUAGAAGAAGCCCCGGCUAACUACGUGCCAGCCGCCGCGGUAAUAC